rnacentral:tRNA from 1 species
GUGGGCGUGGCGCAGUGGUCAGCGCGUAGGUCUAAUACUUCAAACAUGACUUGGGGAAUCCUAAGGUCGAGGGUUCGACACCCUCCGCCCGCA